AGUGGCGAACGGGUGAGUAACACGUGGGUAACCUACCCAUCAGAUCGGGAUACCCGAGGGAAACUUCGGCUAAUACCGGAUACGUUCAGGAGAGGCAUCUCCCCUGAAUAAAAGCAGCCUUCAAGCUGCACUGAUGGAUGGACCUGCGGCGCAUUAGCUAGUUGGUGAGAUAACAGCCCACCAAGGCAAGGAUGCGUAGCCGACCUGAGAGGGUGAUCGGCCACAAUGGAACUGAGAAACGGUCCAUACUCCUACGGGAGGCAGCAGUAGGGAGUUUUCGGCAAUGGGGGAAACCCUGACCGAGCAACGCCGCGUGAGUGAUGAAGAUCUUCGGAUUGUAAAGCUCUGUUGUAGGGGACGAAUGGUAUAGAGAGGAAAUGCUCUGUACUUGACGGUACCUUACCAGAAAGCCACGGCUAACUACGUGCCAGCAGCCGCGGUAAUACGUAGGUGGCAAGCGUUAUCCGGAAUUAUUGGGCGUAAAGAGUGAGCAGGCGGCUGUUUAAGUCUGAAGUCAAAUCUAGGGGCUCAACCCCUAAUCGCUUUGGAAACUGGACAGCUAGAGUACGAGAGAGGUAUGUGGAAUUCCAUGUGUAGCGGUGAAAUGCGUAGAUAUAUGGAGGAACACCAGUGGCGAAGGCGGCAUACUAGCUCGAUACUGACGCUCAUUCACGAAAGCGUGGGUAGCAAAUAGGAUUAGAUACCCUAGUAGUCCACGCC
rnacentral:rRNA from 1 species